GUGAGUAACACGUGGGUGAUCUGCCUUGCACUCUGGGAUAAGCUUGGGAAACUGGGUCUAAUACCGGAUAGGAACCGUCUUUAGUGUGGUGGUUGGAAAGUUUUUCGGUGCAAGAUGAGCUCGCGGCCUAUCAGCUUGUUGGUGGGGUAAUGGCCUACCAAGGCGUCGACGGGUAGCCGGCCUGAGAGGGUGUACGGCCACAUUGGGACUGAGAUACGGCCCAG
rnacentral:rRNA from 1 species